AUUUCAUUGUAUAUUUCUGUAAUUUUAUACUAAAAAACAGUAAGUGGACUUGUGAUAUAAUUUUUCCAAAACACAACUUUUAUUACAGCCUACUCUAAAUCAGAUAUACCUUUCUCUUUAAACAUUUUGCAUGCUCAUUAAACGAUUGGUCUCCUAAAUAGGCAUAAUGAACAAAUAUUAGCAAAAUUGUUCUUCAAGAAAUUUUCCCUUGAAAAACUUAAUUAUUACCAUCUUUCAAAAAUAACACAGAAAUGAGCCAGCUCCGA